rnacentral:lncRNA from 1 species
AUUGGCAGCAAGAAAGUAUUACAAGUAGGAAUUGCCUCACAGAAUCCAGAAAUGAUCAAGGAAAUGGCCUGCUGUGUGGCUAAAGAAACUAUUGAAAAAGUCUCCAAAGGGCUUUUCUCCAACAGUCCAAAGUGUUUUUGAAAACAGUUUCCAGCCAGAAGACACUAUGGAUAAGCCCUGCUCAUCACAUUCCCUAGGAGAAGCUGUUGGUGUGACACCUUGUUCUAAUAAGAAAAAAGGUUGCUCUGCUUCUGAGACCCCAGAGAAGCCUGGAGGUUAUUUGGCUCAAAGAGUCCAGGAUGUAGAAGGAGUACAGCAGUGUAAGGCUUCAGGGAAGACAGUUAAGAAGACUAAAAAGAGCUCCUUGAGGCCAGACUGUAUGAAAACACGACUUCUGGAGUCCUCUUCGCAUGAUGUGGUUGAUGAGGAGUUGCCCGGACACUCAUCUUGGUAUGUGUACAAUCCCAGCCUUAAUAAGGACAAAAAUCUCAGUCCAGCCCAAAGCAAGAGUGGUCUGCGC